rnacentral:lncRNA from 1 species
CUAUGAUUGUUUUUACUAACAAUUAGACUGAAGUUGUAGAUGUGGAAGAAGAGACAGGGACCGUGAUCAUGGGCUACAUUCUCCGUACCAGCUUCAUAGCUCCAGUGAGAAAAUAAAUUCCUGCAUCCAGGAGAUGUGGAGUAAGAGAUACAGCUGCCCUUGACCAUAUUUCUUACUUCCGAGAAGAUCGUAGCAGUAAUUCAGAAUCUCAUCCAGGAUACCUCAUCACAGGCUGGAGUGCAGUGUCAUGAGCUUGGCUCACUACAGCCUCCAUCUUCUGUGCUUAAGGAUCCUUCCCUCUCAACCUCCAAGGUAGCUGAGACUACAGGUAUGUGCCACCAUGCUGGACUAAUUUAUUGUUGUUGUUGUUGUUUGUUAGAUUUUUGGUAGAGGCAAGGUUUCACCAUGUUGCCCAGGCCAGAGUCAAACUCCUGGGCUCAAGUGAUAUUUAUUUUGUUAUAGAGAUGGGGUCUUAAUGUGGUGCCCAGGCUAGUCUGGGAUUACAGGUGUGAGCCACUGUGCCUUGCCAAAAACUGCCAUUCUCAUCAUAUCGUACCAAGAGUACAAACUCAACAAGGGUACAAACUGUCAACCAGAGUAGACAUUCAUUAUUGGCAGAAUGUCUACAAAUUCCUUUAAACCUUCACCAUAAACAUGUGCCUACUCUCUUCCAAUUAUUUCAUGUGUAUUAAUUUAUUCAUUUAUACAUGCAUCUUUUAUUUAUAUCAUUAUCUAAAUAUGGAGAUUUAUUUUACAAUGCGUAUGUGCUAUUUUUUUUUUUUUGAGAC